CUGGGACCUUGCGUGGUCCCAAUCUCUAGUCCUACAGGCAGCAGCCCCUUUCACUCAGCACUCCAGCCUAAGCAUUGUCUUAAUGCUUUUGCAAUGUGCUUGACCAAUUCACCCGAGGAAGAAAUGUCUUUCAGGGACACUAUCCCCACCUUACACUUGCAUAUGAAUUUACAAACCCCAAACCACUUUUCUAUCCAAUCUUUCUUUAGGUUUUUCCAACAGAUUUUUCAAGGAAGCAAAAAAGACAGCAAAUUACUAAGAAUGAAAUUCACUUUUUAAUUUUUCCCACUGAGUCUUCGUCAACGGAUAAUCCCUACCUAUCAAGACAUAUGACAGUUCUCUCUCAUUUCAAUGUUGUAUGCAUAAAAAGCAGCAAAUUCAGAACCUUCAUGUGAAAUGGAAUUGUAAAGGACUCUGGCUGCAACGCUAUUUGUUGAUAAAGCAAAAAUUGAUUUUCAACAGAAGUUAGAAUGAGGAAAGUCAAAUUUGGAGGACAGUGUAAAACCUCUAACAUUUUCAUGAGCUUUGAAGGUAGACUCUGCUGUUCAGAGAUUGCUCAAGACUAAACUGGUCCCUGCCGAGGUAUCUAUGGACUGUUCUGGAAGGAAAGGUACAAGGAGCUGACAUGAACCUGAUUUUUAACCUGAAGCAGACAGAGUUGGGACCAGCUGGCCUGCAGUCCUGUGAGCAAGAAAUCGAUGUGCAUACUCAUGAGUAAACCAUAAACAUUUGCUGUUAUAACCCAGGAAGCUUUGGGAGUUGAUUUUUAUGUGGUGUUAUGGCAACAAUUGUUGAUGAAUGUGGGUAUACAGUAUUGGAAGUUCUCAUGUGUCUUUGAUGGCCAGCCUCUCAGUGCUUACAGAGCUCCUCAGCCUCACCAGAUAUUUCCCACUUGAAUAAUGAAGUUGUAUGGUUGGGAAUAGACAUUUUGGCUAUUUGGGUCAAUAGGUUUAGGACCUUUGGAGGAUUCAAGACUGGUAGAAAACCACAGCAUGGUCUAAGAUGCAGGUGUUCAUGCCUGCAGGUAAGUAGAUGCAUCAUUAACUUCAAUAAUAAUAAAUAAAAUUUAAAGAGAUUUUUCGAUUAUCAUAAACUGAAUGAACUAAAAUUAACUUUCUAACAAAUAGCCACAAAUUUCUAGCGUGUUUAUCUUUCCCAUAUGUUUCCCAGCUCUGCUAAGUUGGAAGCCUCAAAACCAUCAACCAAUAAAUCAUUCCUUGGGUUUCACUUUGGGGACCAAUUAAAACUAUCAACAUGUUUUCUUCCAUUACACUGGGAGUUUUAUCUCCAGCUGUUGGGAUCUGAGCUUCUAAAAGUAUGAAGCAUGACUACCCAGGGAAAAGGCACGUGAGACAAUUGGAGGAAAAUAGACUCUAUUGAAAGCUAGUUUAUGUAAGCUUAGUGCUUCCACCCUCCUCACUUCAUUCAGAAGGCACAAGCUUUACUAAACAUGUGGUAAAUAAUACAGCUGGCACCACAGCAGGAAAGGUGCUGCCCCUAAACCUGGAGGGAGAGCUCCUGGCAGAUAAUCCAAGGGCUGGUAAUUUAUCACUUAUGCAAACACAGCACCUCUUGUGGGUCUCCUUUUACAUCUCCUGUUCUGUGAAACUUUCCACUGAAGACUUGGAUAAAUGUUUUCCAGAUGGUAUCAAUCAUGGAGUUACCUACUAAUAGGAAUCAAGGAAAAGUCAUUGAAUUAAUUAGCAAGUCAAACAGGAAAGGAAGAAGGACUGUGCUUGAAAGUAGAAAAAGAAGAGACCACUUGGAAUUAUCUAAUCAUCUAGAAACAAGGUCAUUCAGGAAAAGGGGGCUUGAUUAAGCAUCAGGAAACCUGAGACCUGGCCAACAGCCUGGUUCCUCCAAAUCACAGGCUUUGGAGUCUAACAGAUAGAGGUUAGAAUCUCAGCUCAGUCUCUAACUAUGCAUAGUGGGCAAGAUUCUUGGCCUCUCUGAGCCUCUGUUUCCUCAUAUGCUAAGGGAAAAAAGGAUGAAAUAUGCAAACUAUGUAAUACCAUUUUACAGACUUAGAUGUGUAGCAUGUGAAGCACUUAGCAAAGUGGCUACCAAUAGGCGGCACUUAAAAAAAAAAUUCUUUACUCUCACCUGUGAUCAGUUAAAUGAUUGGAAAACUAUUCACCCCUGUCUGAAACUACACCAUUGCCAUGAUCACAUCUUGAGCAGAGUGCACUUUCCCACUCCUUGCUUUGGGCUGACUACAUGAUUUGCUUAGACCAAGCAAUGUGGGUGGAAGUGACAAUGGGCUCGUUUUUAGACCAGGACUUAAGAGGCAUUAUGUUUCUACUUGCCCUUUGCACCUCCCCCAUCACCACAAGAAAAAUAUACCCAGGCUGUCUUGCUGGUCCAAGAAGGAGGAUAAAAGACACGAGAAGCAAAGCUGCCAACCCCAGGAAGCAAAGCUUCCAAACCCCUCCCAACACGAAGACAUGCGAGUGAUAAUAAAUAAUGGUUGUUUUUAGCCACUGAGUUUUGACGUGGAUUAAUUUCAGCUGCUGUAUCUCACAGAUUAUGUUAUCUCACAUUCCUUCUCUGGGUUCUAAUUGCAUAUCUGCUCAGGACUUACUAAAUGAAUAUCUUUUACAAUGCUGAUAUUAGAGGUAAGGCCCAGAAAAUGGCAAGCUAAAGAUGUCCCAGAAACUUCUACCGUAUAGUUGGCUUAAAUCUUAAACUCCAAACUUAGAUGUGUAAGAAAAGUAAUUUAACUUGGUUAUGACAAGACCUUUUUAUUUUUUAACAGUUUUAUUACAAAUCCCCUAUUUUGCUGGUUAGCAGAAACAUCUCUCAGUCAAUUCAGGGUUUCUCCUCCCUUAAGGAUUGGGUUUAACUUUAGGAGGCUCUGCAUGAUGAGGAGGUGGAAGGUGUUGGGAGGGAGAACCAGGGCACUGUCGUUCCUGUUGUUGAUCUCUGCAGUGCUCUCUCUUGGUCUACGUAAGUGAGGAUCUAAAAUCUGAUUCAUUCUUGGGUAAUCUUCUUUUAGAAGCCCAUGAUUAGACCCAACUGGAGGAAGUUUGGAGCUUCUCUCAGACAUGUAAGAAUUGUUCUGAAGAAUCUGCAUCUUGUUGGGUGAAGGACUUCAGAAUGUGCAAUAAAAAUGCAAUAGUCUUGGACCUAUGUAACUGGAAGGAACUGGUGGACAAGCUCUUACUGCUUCUCCAGGUUCUCACAAGAAAGCAGGCAUGGAUUCCUUUUGCACAGCUCCUCCAGGCUUUCUGGGCCCUGUCAUUCCUUCUUCUAUCUUCUGGGUUGAGCAACAUGCAAUCUCCCCUUGUGCAGAAGCCCAAAUAGCUACUGAAAAUGUGUCCUCUCUGACUUUCCCCAUUUCUUGAACUCUGAGAGACUUUUUCUAGUAUCAGUUCUGAGGAGCAUUGCUGUUUUCCUUCCUAUCAUCUGGAAGACCUAGACUUUAAAACUCAAAACCUGAGAAAAACUUCCUUUUUUUUCUCUCUUUUGUCUGGAUCAUCACUACCUUGAAAUACUAAAUUAGCAAAGUCCUAACUAGAAACUGAAUUGGCUAAAGAGUCAAGGAGCAACAGGUAAUUCCAAGAAAAACAACAGCAAACUUACAUCAGUUAACAUUUCAAAGCUAUUUUCCUUUGCAAUUUUGUGUAUCUGUUUUUAUGGAAUGCAAGAGAUAAUAGGCUAAAUGCUAUUUUGCAUAUGUGUUACAUUGGAUUUCUCACAUAUUCUACUACUUAACUCAAGAUGUUGAGUAAAUAAAUGAGUUAAUAAACUGGAAUUUCUAUAUCAGCUCUUGGUUCUAGUUAUGUUUCGUUUGUUUUGGAUUUUUUUUCUUUUUGAAUGCUUAUUCACUGGCCCAGCUGUAUUUAUGCCUAGAUUAACCAGAUACAUUGCCA
rnacentral:lncRNA from 1 species